AUGCUGGAGGUAUCAGAAGUGCGAAUGCUGACGUGAGUAACGACAAAACGGGUGAAAAACCCGUUCGCCGAAAGACCAAGGGUUCCAGUCCAACGUUAAUCGGGGCUGGGUGAGUCGACCCCUAAGGCGAGGCCGAAAGGCGUAGUCGAUGGGAAAAUGGUUAAUAUUCCAUUACUUCUGUGUAAUGCGAUGAGAGGACGGAGAAGGCUAAAUCAGCCUGGCGUUGGUUGUCCAGGUGAAAGGAUGUAGGCAUGUAUCUUAGGCAAAUCCGGGGUACUCUAUGCUGAGAUCUGAUAGCAAGCUGUACUUGUACAGCGAAGUGGUUGAUGCCAUGCUUCCAGGAAAAGUCUCUAAGCUUCAGUUACACAGGAAUCGUACCCGAAACCGACACAGGUGGUCAGGUCGAGUAGACCAAGGCGCUUGAGAGAACUCUGCUGAAGGAACUAGGCAAAAUGGUACCGUAACUUCGGGAGAAGGUACGCUGUUGUUGGUGAUGGAACUCGCUUCCUGAGCUGACGACAGCCGCAGAAACCAGGCCGCUGCAACUGUUUAUUAAAAACAUAGCACUCUGCAAACACGAAAGUGGACGUAUAGGGUGUGAUGCCUGCCCGGUGCUGGAAGGUUAAUUGAUGGGGUUAGCGUAAGCGAAGCUCUUGAUCGAAGCCCCAGUAAACGGCGGCCGUAACUAUAACGGUCCUAAGGUAGCGAAAUUCCUUGUCGGGUAAGUUCCGACCUGCACGAAUGGCAUAAUGAUGGCGGCGCUGUCUCCAGCAGAGGCUCAGUGAAAUCGAAAUCGCUGUGAAGAUGCAGUGUACCCGCGGCUAGACGGAAAGACCCCGUGAACCUUUACUGCAGCUUGACACUGAACUUUGACCUUACUUGUGUAGGAUAGGUGGGAGGCUUUGAAGCUGGAACGCUAGUUCCAGUGGAGCCGUCCUUGAAAUACCACCCUGGUAAUGUUGAGGUUCUAACUCUGUCCCGUGAUCCGGGACGAGGACCGUGUCUGGUGGGUAGUUUGACUGGGGCGGUCUCCUCCUAAAGAGUAACGGAGGAGUACGAAGGUGCGCUCAGCGUGGUCGGAAAUCACGCGUAGAGUAUAAAGGCAAAAGCGCGCUUAACUGCGAGACCCACAAGUCGAGCAGGUACGAAAGUAGGUCUUAGUGAUCCGGUGGUUCUGUAUGGAAGGGCCAUCGCUCAACGGAUAAAAGGUACUCUGGGNNNNNNNNNNNNNNNNNNNNNNNNNNNNNNGAUAACAGGCUGAUACCGCCCAAGAGUUCAUAUCGACGGCGGUGUUUGGCACCUCGAUGUCGGCUCAUCUCAUCCUGGGGCUGAAGCAGGUCCCAAGGGUAUGGCUGUUCGCCAUUUAAAGAGGUACGCGAGCUGGGUUUAGAACGUCGUGAGACAGUUCGGUCCCUAUCUACCGUGGGCGCUGGAAAUUUGAGAGGAUCUGCUCCUAGUACGAGAGGACCAGAGUGGACGAANNNNNNNNNNNNNNNNNNNNNNNNNNNNNNNNNNNNNNNNNNNCCUCUGGUGUACCGGUUGUGACGCCAGUCGCAUCGCCGGGUAGCUAUGUUCGGAAGGGAUAACCGCUGAAAGCAUCUAAGCGGGAAGCCUACCUCAAGAUAAGAUUUCCCUAGGACUUUAUGUCCUCUAAAGAGCCGUUCGAGACUAGGACGUUGAUAGGUUGGAUGUGGAAGCAUAGUGAUAUGUGAAGCUGACCAAUACUAAUUGCUCGUGAGGCUUGACUAUACAACACCCAAGCAGUUG
rnacentral:rRNA from 1 species